CAGUAGCCGCGGUAAUACGUAGGGUGCGAGCGUUAAUCGGAAUUACUGGGCGUAAAGCGUGCGCAGGCGGUUAUAUAAGACAGAUGUGAAAUCCCCGGGCUCAACCUGGGACCUGCAUUUGUGACUGUAUAGCUAGAGUACGGUAGAGGGGGAUGGAAUUCCGCGUGUAGCAGUGAAAUGCGUAGAGAUGUGGAGGAAUACCGAUGGCGAAGGCAGCCCCCUGGGCCAAUACUGACGCUCAUGCACGAAAGCGUGGGGAGCAAACAGGAUUAGAUACCCGCGUAGUCCCUGUCUCUUAUAC
rnacentral:rRNA from 1 species